rnacentral:lncRNA from 1 species
UCAGAAACCUUUCGUAAUCCCGUCGUAAGCCGCCGGCUGGAAAUCGCCUCCGCCGGCGGCGAUGCUCCAAACCACCCCAAAUUUACACCCCAUGACCCUCUUCUCGUCCCCUUUCCAUAUCCUUAGCUAAUUUCCUUCAAAUCCAUACCAGUUCCUUUGAAUCUUGAAGCAAAUGAUUUCGACCAAAACCCAAAGUUACCCAAUAUUGUCCAAAUUCACACCCUAGAACCGCCUUGUUCUCCUCUUUCAUGCCCCCAAACCUCAUCCUUCAAAUCUGACCGAAACUGUUUGAAUAUUAAAUUGAAUUUCGGACCAAAACCCUAGUUUUCCCAAACCUCGCCAAAUUGAUAGUGUGUGACCUCGUCAUCUCCUUUAUGACGAAUUCCUCACCGGUAGCACUCGAAUAACACGGGAGAUGGUUGAAUUUUGAAUUUGAGAAGCGGCUUGACUAUGGAAUUUAUACCAGUGAGUUCUUUCUUUCUUUUUGUGUGUGUUUUCUCCCAUGUCUGUAUUGCUUCAUGAUUAGGUAAUUAGUUCUUUUCAUUUUGUUAUAAUUUCGAGUAAUUAAUCUAGGAUUUGUCUGCACCUUCGAG